rnacentral:rRNA from 1 species
ACGGAUAACAUACCGAAAGGUAUGCUAAUACGGGAUAAUAUAUUUGAGAGGCAUCUCUUAAAUAUCAAAGGUGAGCCAGUACAGGAUGGACCCGCGUCUGAUUAGCUAGUUGGUAAGGUAACGGCUUACCAAGGCGACGAUCAGUAGCCGACCUGGGAGGGUGAUCGGCCACAUUGGAACUGAGACACGGUCCAAACUCCUACGGGAGGCAGCAGUGGGGAAUAUUGCACAAUGGGCGAAAGCCUGAUGCAGCAACGCCGCGUGAGUGAUGAAGGCCUUCGGG